rnacentral:rRNA from 1 species
UACGAAGGGGGCUAGCGUUGUUCGGAAUCACUGGGCGUAAAGGGCGCGUAGGCGGCUUUAUAAGUCGGGGGUGAAAGCCUGUGGCUCAACCACAGAAUUGCCUUCGAUACUGUAUGGCUUGAGACCGGAAGAGGUAAGUGGAACUGCGAGUGUAGAGGUGAAAUUCGUAGAUAUUCGCAAGAACACCAGUGGCGAAGGCGGCUUACUGGUCCGGUUCUGACGCUGAGAAGCGAAAGCGUGGGGAGCAAACAGG